rnacentral:sRNA from 1 species
GAUGAAGAUUGUGAAGAUGGUGGUGAUGGUGGAGACGGAGAUAACGGAUCCGGAUCAAGCGGCUCUGAUGGAUCAGAUGGCAGCGAUGAUUCCGACUCCAGCAGUAGCAGCAGCAGUAGCAGCUCAGACAGCGACUCCAGCUCCGACAGUGACGAAGAUGGCGGUGACGGAAAUGGUGACGGUAAUGGCGAUUAUGGCAACAAUGGCGAUUACGGUAACUAUGGCGAUUACGGAUGCAACGGAUACGACUGUGGAAACGGUAACGGAGGAAAUGGAGGAAAUGGAGGAAAUGGUGGAAACGGCGGAGCCGACGGAAACGGAGAUUACACCGAUGCGCCCAAUAAUGACAAAUAGAUCCAUUAAUAGAUUUCUUUCCAAUUACAAUCAAAGACACAUUUUUCUACUGUAGGCGAGUUUUGUGAUCCAGUUGUCGAGUUUCAUGCCAGACCAUAUGUUUUGUUUUGAGGUAUUCUACGGUUAGACAAAUAAACCUGCUUACUAUUUAUUUUCCAAUGUUUAGAUUUUUACGGCUUAAACAAAUCAAGAUUUUAAAAAAAAUAUUUCUUUAUCUAGGAAUAAAAGAUAUUCUUUGACAUUUCUUCAUCUGAAAAUUACACAUGUGUAAUGGAACCGGCAACGAAAAGUAUGCAUAAUAGUAUUAUUAACUGAAAGUUUUGUUUUGUAUUAUUUUUUUAUGUAUUGCUCAUGUUGUUGUUUACCUCAAGCAGAUGUAACAUUGUUUUGUAAACAGAAUGCAAUUCAAUAAAUUAUUG